GGAAUCUCCCACAAUGGGCGAAAGCCUGAUGGAGCAACGCCGCGUGUGUGAUGAAGGGUUUCGGCUCGUAAAACACUGUUGUAAGAGAAGAAUGACAUUGAGAGUAACUGUUCAAUGUGUGACGGUAUCUUACCAGAAAGGAACGGCUAAAUACGUGCCAG
rnacentral:rRNA from 1 species